rfam:Oscillibacter sp. 1-3 genomic scaffold acPPL-supercont1.6, whole genome shotgun sequence.
GAGCGCCGUGUGCGGUGAAAGUCGCAUGCACGGUGCGAAGCGGGGGAAAAUCCGCUCUGACUGCUGCUCUCUCAUGAGGGCAGUAAAAGCGGCGGAUUACCUAUCGCUAU